rnacentral:rRNA from 1 species
UACGGGGGGAGCAAGCGUUGUUCGGAUUUACUGGGCGUAAAGGGCGCGUAGGCGGCCACCGCAAGUCGAUUGUGAAAUCUCCGGGCUUAACCCGGAAAGGUCAACCGAUACUGCGGGGCUAGAGUGCAGAAGGGGCUACUGGAAUUCUCGGUGUAGCGGUGAAAUGCGUAGAUAUCGAGAGGAACACCUGCGGCGAAGGCGGGUUGCUGGGCUGACACUGACGCUGAAGUGCGAAAGCUAGGGGAGCGAACGGG